CAGCCGCCGCGGUAAUACCGGCGGCCCGAGUGGCGGCCACUAUUAUUGGGCCUAAAGCGUCCGUAGCCGGGCUGGUAAGUCCUCCGGGAAAUCUGGUCGCUUAACGAUCAGACUUCCGGAGGAUACUGCUGGCCUAGGGACCGGGAGAGGCCGAGGGUAUUCCCGGGGUAGGGGUGAAAUCCUGUAAUCCCGGGAGGACCACCUGUGGCGAAGGCGCUCGGGUGGAACGGGUCCGACGGUGAGGGACGAAGGCCAGGGGAGCGAACCGGAUUAGAUACCCGGGUAGUCCUGGCUGUAAACGAUGCGGACUAGGUGUCGGGCAAGCUAAGGGCUUGUCCGGUGCCGCAGGGAAGCCGUUAAGUCCGCCGCCUGGGGAGUACGGCCGCAAGGCUGAAACUUAAAGGAAUUGGCGGG
rnacentral:rRNA from 1 species